rnacentral:rRNA from 1 species
UAGCGUGUGGCCUCCAUUCUGCAGUCCAGCGGACCGGAACCGGAACUUGCUCUCGUUUGGUCAGCGGCGGACGGGUGAGUAACACGUGGGCAACCUGCCCGCAAGACCGGGAUAACUCCGGGAAACCGGAGCUAAUACCGGAUAACACCGAAGACCGCAUGGUCUUUGGUUGAAAGGCGGCCUUUGGCUGUCACUUGCGGAUGGGCCCGCGGCGCAUUAGCUAGUUGGUGAGGUAACGGCUCACCAAGGCGACGAUGCGUAGCCGGCCUGAGAGGGUGGACGGCCACACUGGGACUGAGACACGGCCCAGACUCCUACGGGAGGCAGCAGUAGGGAAUCUUUCCGCAAUGGGCUAAAGCC